rnacentral:rRNA from 1 species
GGGAACUGCGUUCUGAACUGGGUGACUAGAGUGUGUCAGAGGGAGGUAGAAUUCCACGUGUAGCAGUGAAAUGCGUAGAGAUGUGGAGGAAUACCGAUGGCGAAGGCAGCCUCCUGGGAUAACACUGACGUUCAUGCCCGAAAGCGUGGGUAGCAAACAGGAUUAGAUACCCUGGUAGUCCACGCCCUAAACGAUGUCGAUUAGCUGUUGGGCAGCAUGACUGCUUAGUAGCGAAGCUAACGCGUGAAAUCGACCGCCUGGGGAGUACGGUCGCAAGAUUAAAACUCAAAGGAAUUGACGGGGACCCGCACAAGCGGUGGAUGAUGUGGAUUAAUUCGAUGCAACGCGAAGAACCUUACCUGGUCUUGACAUGUACGGAACCCUCCAGAGACGGAGGAGUGCCUUCGGGAGCCGUAACACAGGUGCUGCAUGGCUGUCGUCAGCUCGUGUCGUGAGAUGUUGGGUUAAGUCCCGCAACGAGCGCAACCCUAGUCAUUAGUUGCCAUCAUUAAGUUGGGCACUCUAAUGAGACUGCCGGUGACAAGCCGGAGGAAGGUGGGGAUGACGUCAAGUCCUCAUGGCCCUUAUGACCAGGGCUUCACACGUCAUACAAUGGUCGGUACAGAGGGUAGCCAAGCCGCGAGGCGGAGCCAAUCUCACAAAACCGAUCGUAGUCCGGAUUGCACUCUGCAACUCGAGUGCAUGAAGUCGGAAUCGCUAGUAAUCGCAGGUCAGCAUACUGCGGUGAAUACGUUCCCGGGUCUUGUACACACC